UACAGGGGGGGCAAGCGUUGUUCGGAAUUACUGGGCGUAAAGGGCUCGUAGGUGGCCAACUAAGUCAGACGUGAAAUCCCUCAGCUUAACUGGGGAACUGCGUCUGAUACUGGAUGGCUUGAGUUUGGGAGAGGGAUGCGGAAUUCCAGGUGUAGCGGUGAAAUGCGUAGAUAUCGGGAGGAACACCAGUGGCGAAGGCGGCUUUCUGGCCCGUUCUUGACGCUGAGGCGCGAAAGCUAGGGUAGCAAACGGG
rnacentral:rRNA from 1 species